rnacentral:rRNA from 1 species
GAUGAACGCUAGCGGCAGGCCUAAUACAUGCAAGUCGAACGGUGUAGCAAUACACAGUGGCGCACGGGUGCGUAACACGUAUGCAACCUACCUUACAUUGGGGGAUAGCCUUUCGAAAGGGAGAUUAAUACCGCAUAAGACAGUAACUAGGCAUCUAGUAGCUGUUAAAGAUUUAUCGAUGUAAGCUGGGCAUGCGUCCAAUUAGUUAGUUGGCGAGGUAAUGGCUAACCAAGACGAUGAUUGGUAGGGGAACUGAGAGGUCAAUCCCCCACACUGGCACUGAGGUACGGGCCAGACUCCUACGGGAGGCAGCAGUAGGGAAUAUUGGGCAAUGGGCGCAAGCCUGACCCAGCCAUGCCGCGUGCAGGAAGAAGGCGUUAUGCGUUGUAAACUGCUUUUAUACAGGAAGAAACGACCCUUGCGAGGGGCAUUGACGGUACUGUAUGAAUAAGCACCGGCUAACUCCGUGCCAGCCGCCGCUGUAAAAC